rnacentral:tRNA from 13 species
GGGCCGUUAGCUCAGUUGGUAGAGCAGCUGACUUUUAAUCAGCGGGUCGCAGGUUCGAAUCCUGCACGGCUCACCA